UGUGUAGGCGGGUCGUUAAGUACCUUGUGAAGUCCCACGGCUUAACCGUGGAACUGCUUGGUAUACUGGCGAUCUUGAGCCACUUAGGGGUUACCGGAACAAACGGUGGAGCGGUGAAAUGCGUAGAUAUCGUUUGGAACGCCAAUGGUGAAAACAGGUAACUGGGAGUGCGCUGACGCUGAGACACGAAAGCCAGGGGAGCGAAG
rnacentral:rRNA from 1 species